AGAGAAAAGUCAUUUGGCAUGAUGGUAAUGAUUAACAUUGCAGAUGUAAAAUGUUAAAUACUGUUCUGUAUUAAAAGCUCAGUGUAAGUGUUUGAUUAACUUCCUUUGCUUUUGUUUUGUACAAAGGAAAAGCAGAACCUAAUCUAAAUAAAAAUAAACAAGCUGUUUAAAGGACUGUGUCCUACCCAGAUCCUCCUCCAAAAUAUAACCAUUCAAAAUACAAUCCAUUUGAAAAUACACUUAAACAAAUGUGAGAUGUUAUUUGUGGUGUAAAUAUCAUUACAAUUUCAUUUUAUUUACAGUUGAAGAUCAACACAAACCAAAUGAAGAUGUUGUAGAUUCUACAAACAAUAAAAAAGAAGGUGAUGGCACACAUCAUGACAGUAAACAUCGGUAUCAAGAUGGUGUGAUUGAUCUAUACCCUAGAAUAAGCUGUGACACUGAUGCUGUGGUCACAUAAUGAACAGCCAUCUUACAGACAACCGAAAGAGUAUUGUCUACAAUCCCAAAUUCUGGAUUGAAGAUCCAGUACCAGUGGGCACCCCAAUCCCAGAGAGCAUCCAUCUGAAACCAGGUGAGGUAACACAACGAAAAAAUUACCGGAUGGAGACUACCUGAUUCUUCACCUAUGGCCUCAGCUUCAAAUGCAAGAAGUCCAGCAACUGUCUGAGUUGGUGGAUAUUCUGUCAGAGACUCCGUGGACAACGUUAUGAAUAGGUAUGUAUUUCUCUUGAUUUGUGUAAUCCUGCAUAAUAUUUAAGGAAUAUAUAUUGAUUACCACCAUAAUUAACCCAGCUAUUUAUAUUACUUCAAUUCAGGAUUUAAUCCGUCACACAUCACUUGUUCAGAAGUUUUAAUGUUCGUAGUGACUUAAACAGUUAGCCAUACUGAAAACAAGAAAUCAAAACAUAAUUUCAGUGUAAGCCGUUACUUGUCACCCAAACUUAUGGAUGAUGAUAUAGUUCAUAGCACUUGUUACAUGGUAGAUGAAACAAGUGAAGUUGGUAGAUGAAACAAGUGAAGUUGUGAAGUGUUAACACAUAGUGUAUGUUUGAACAUUGUAUGCAAUUGCUCAUUACUGUUAAUUGUGAUUUAUUGACCUUUUAGGUUAUUUGUCUAAGGUGAAGUAAUCUUACAGUUCUUUCACAGAAUGAUGUGAAAUUGUCUUAUGGCAAAGUUCAAUAUGAAGGGUGGUGGACAUCUGGAAAAGAAGUCUUUUAAAGGCACACCUUUGUAUUAUGUUAUUCAAGAUGCUGUGAAGAGGUGGAUCCCAAAUGCCACCGAAUCGGAAAUAGAUGCAGCUAUGGCAGACGACCUCAAGCACGCUCCAGGAAGAGCUGGGGGUGGUGGAUACAAAAAAGCCUAACAGCUGUGAUGUGUUAAAGAGAGAGUUCACCAAAAAAGGAAAAUUGUUAUAAUUUUCUUAUCCACAUGUUUCAAACCUGUAUACCUUUCUAUUUUCUGCUGAACACAAAGAUUGAAGAAUGUUUGUAACUUCACAACCCAUUAACUGUCAUUAUUUUUUUUUUUUACAAUUGUAGUAAUGGGUUGUGAGAUCUGCUUUGUUAAAAACAUUCUUUCAAAUAUCUUUGUGUUCAGCAGAACAUAGAAAGGUAUACAGGUUUGAAACAUGAGAGGGAAUAAAUGACUAAAUAUUAAUUUUUGGGUGAACUAUCCCUUUAUAGAAAGUGUUUUGAAAUUGUUAUUAUAGUUAAAUGGUUAAAAAAUAAAAAGUGCUAAAUCAGAA